GCUUAAUACAUGCAAGUCGUGGGGCAGCAUGGGUAGCAAUACCUGAUGGCGACCGGCAAACGGGUGCGGAACACGUACGCAACCUUCCUUUAAGUGAGGAAUAGCCCAGGGAAACUUGGAUUAAUACCUCGUAACAUUAUGGAGUGGCAUCACUUUAUAAUUAUAGCUCAGGCGCUUAAAGAUGGGCGUGCGGCUGAUUAGGUAGUUGGCGGGGUAACGGCCCACCAAGCCUACGAUCAGUAACUGGUGUGAGAGCACGACCAGUCACACGGGCACUGAGACACGGGCCCGACUCCUACGGGAGGCAGCAGUAAGGAAUAUUGGUCAAUGGACGCAAGUAUGAACCAGCCAUGCCGCGUGGAGGAUGAAGGCCCUCAGGGUUGUAAACAUCUUUUAUUUGGGAAGAA
rnacentral:rRNA from 1 species